GUUUCCUACGCAGUUGAGAUGACACUGGGCUUAUAUAUCGUCUUCUUUCAUUUAGUUUAAGAUGAAUAAGUAGGAUAUGUAUGAGGGCAGUGUCAUCUCUCUGCGGAUGAAAC
rnacentral:pre_miRNA from 1 species